rnacentral:lncRNA from 1 species
UUAUGACGAUACGCUUUAGUUUUGCCAACACAAUGCCCGAGUUGGCUCCCGGAUAACGGUAUGAUGUCGUAAAAACACCAAAAAUAAUAGCUGUGGCAAGUAAAGGAGGCCAGACUUUAAAGGAGGCUGUCCAGAGAAUUUCCUUUGCGUUAUUCACUAAUAACCUCUGCUGUAAACUUAACUGGUCUGGUAUUACCAUAAAUGACAAUGAAAGUAACUUUGUAAAACAAAGACUUACACUUGCUUAAAAGAGCUGUAAAAAGAAAUCCUGCAACAACUUCAGCAACUGAAUCAGAUUUUCAAUAUGAGGUUGUGCGUUUUUUGCGUGGUGCAUCAGACCGCAAUGGCAGAAAAAAAGUUAGACAAGACCAAAAAAACAAACAAAGCCAAGAAAAAAGUGAUGC